rnacentral:rRNA from 1 species
AUUGAACGCUGGCGGCAUACCUUACGCAUGCAAGUCGAACGGUAACGCGGGGCAACCUGGCGACGAGUGGCGAACGGGUGAGUAAUGUAUCGGAACGUGCCCAGUCGUGGGGGAUAACGUAGUGAAAAUUACGCUAAUACCGCAUACGAUCUAUGGAUGAAAGCGGGGGAUGGCAAGACCUCGUGCGGUUGGAGGGGCCGAUAUCAGAUUAGGUAGUGGGUGGGGUAAAGGCCCACCAAGCCAACGAUCUGUAGCUGGUCUGAGAGGACGACCAGCCACACUGGAACUGAGACACGGUCCAGACUCCUACGGGAGGCAGCAGUGGGGAAUUUUGGACAAUGGGCGAAAGCCUGAUCCAGCCAUUCCGCGUGCAGGAUGAAGGCCCUCGGGUUGUAAACUGCUUUUGUACAGAACGAAAAGGUUUCUACUAAUACUAGGAGCUCAUGACGGUACUGUAAGAAUAAGCACCGGCUAACUACGUGCCAGCAGCCGCCGUAA